rnacentral:lncRNA from 1 species
UUACUUUGUUAUCCUAUAACUUUUGGUAAGUAUUUAAUAGACUAAACUUUGUGUAUAUUAAGUAGGGACUGCUGUUUGAUUACUUGAUAAUUUCUUGGUUGACUGAGUUGAUAUUAGUUAUGUUUUUGGCUUGUUAUAAAGUGAAUUGAUUGUGAUUUGUUGUGAAGUGAAUUGAUUGUGAUGUGUUGUGAAGUGAAAUGAUUGUGAUUAAGGAUUGAUGACUUUUGUAUGGAUAUUGUGUGAUCGGGAAAGCUGAGCCGGGCGGAUAGCUACCCGAGUAUGUGAGAUGGCAAGACUGAGCCGGGCGGAUAGUCUUGUCAAGUGGUUACUCAAAUUUAAAAAUGUGAGGAAAUGUAAGGAUGAGUCAUCUGAUCCUAAUUUGAUAGAAAUAAUGUGGAAUUGAAUUAUUUGACUUGGUUGAGUUUGAAAUUAUUUGCAUUACGUGAGAUGAAAUUAUAUGUUUAUGAGAAUAACUGAAAUGGUUGAUUUUGUGAUUAUUAGUUAAGUGUUGGUAUAAUUUUCUGUAUUGAUAAAGAUUUGAUAAUUCUAGCCUAAUAUACUAUAGUUUAGUA